GAUGAACGCUGGCGGCAUGCUUUACACAUGCAAGUCGAACGGGAAGGGGUGUUUCCAGUGGCGUACGGGUGAGUAACGCGUAAGAACCUGCCCUUGGGAGGCGAACAACAGCUGGAAACGGCUGCUAAUACCCCGUAGGCUGAGGAGCGAAAGGAGGAAUCCGCCCAAGGAGGGGCUGGCGUCUGAUUAGCGAGUUGGUGAGGUAAUAGCCUACCAAGGCCGUUAUCAGUAGCUUGUCCGAGAGGAGGAUCCGCAACACUGGGGAUGAGACAAGGACCAGCCUCCUAGGGGAGGCAGCAGUGAGGAAUGUUCAGCAAUGGGCGAAAGCCUGAAGGAGCAAUGCGGGGUGGAGGUCAGAGGCCUACGGGUCAUGCACUUCUUUCCGUGGAGAAGAAACAGUGACGGUAUCUGGGGAAUAAGCAUCGGCUAACUACGUG
rnacentral:rRNA from 1 species